rnacentral:rRNA from 1 species
GUAGGGGGCAAGCGUUAUCCGGAUUUACUGGGUGUAAAGGGAGCGUAGACGGUGAUGCAAGUCAGAAGUGAAAGCCCGGGGCUCAACUCCGGGACUGCUUUUGAAACUGUGUAACUGGAGUGCAGGAGAGGUAAGCGGAAUUCCUGGUGUAGCGGUGAAAUGCGUAGAUAUCAGGAGGAACACCAGUGGCGAAGGCGGCUUACUGGACUGUAACUGACACUGAGGCUCGAAAGUGUGGGUAUCA